UACAGAGGGGGCAAGCGUUGUUCGGAAUUACUGGGCGUAAAGGGCGCGUAGGCGGCCUUCUAAGUCGAACGUGAAAUCCCCGGGCUCAACCCGGGAACUGCGUCCGAUACUGGAAGGCUUGAAUUCGGGAGAGGGAUGCGGAAUCCCAGGUGUAGCGGUGAAAUGCGUAGAUAUCUGGAGGAACACCGGUGGCGAAGGCGGCAUCCUGGACCGGCAUUGACGCUGAGGCGCGAAAGCCAGGGGAGCAAACGGG
rnacentral:rRNA from 1 species